AAAGCGUGCGCAGGCGGUUGUGUAAGUCAGAUGUGAAAUCCCCGGGCUCAACCUGGGAAUUGCAUUUGAGACUGCACGGCUAGAGUGUGUCAGAGGGGGGUAGAAUUCCACGUGUAGCAGUGAAAUGCGUAGAUAUGUGGAGGAAUACCGAUGGCGAAGGCAGCCCCCUGGGAUAACACUGACGCUCAUGCACGAAAGCGUGGGGAGCAAACAGGAUUAGAUACCCGAGU
rnacentral:rRNA from 1 species